rnacentral:lncRNA from 1 species
AAGAAAAAGCCCUUCUAGCUUUGUAUUUAUUCUCCGAUAUGACUUCACCCAAAAAGCCGCCGGAAUCUGAGCGCCCGGCGACGGCGAUCUUAGUCCAGCCAUCGUCUCCUAGGUUUCCGAUUACUCCCACCGGUGCCCACCGGAAAAUUGGAAUAGCUGUCGAUCUGAGCGACGAGAGCGCAUUUGCUGUGAAAUGGGCCGUCCAGAAUUACCUCCGCCCGGGCGACGUUGUGAUCCUCCUGCACGUGCGUCCGACGAGCGUCCUCUACGGCGCCGAUUGGGGUUCUAUCGACCUGUCGAUGGAAACCG